rnacentral:lncRNA from 1 species
UGGGGUUCUAUGACUUUGGUUGAUUAAUUGUUAAAUUAUUUAUCUGAGUUCUCACAUUUCACCAAAUAUUUUAGUCUUUGGAGCAUUCAUCUUUUCCUGAAGUUAAUUGCUCAAGGGAUAUUUACUGAAUUCUCUAGCAAUUUGACAAUGAUGGUUGUGCAACUCUUUUAGAUGUCUUGGGAUGAAAUGCAGGUGUCCGGAACUCUUGGUUGCCUUUAUCUAUGGAUAUAUGGGACCAUAGACGUCAAAUGCUAUACUAAGAUACAUGUUUUCAAUAUCUCUUUCCUCCCUCUUUUGAGAUUCCUUUGGUAUUCAUAUUAUUAAUUUUGCAAUUGCACAAAGAAGUCAAAGAAAUCUCUCCCUACCAUCCCUACUAAAUAAAAGAAAAAUCACUUUUGAAAAGGUAACAUCUAUCAGCUAUGUAAUUUAGCCAUGUGAUAAUGUUCUGUAUGAUUUUACUUCGUGAAUUGUGAUACAUCUUGGUUUGAUGUUGUCGUACAGAUCUCUAGAUCAAUUGGUGAUGUGUAUUUAAAAAAGGCUGAAUUCAACAGGGAGCCAUUAUAUGCUAAGUUUCGAGUGUGUGAACCCUUCAAAAGACCAAUUUUGAGUUCAGAACCAUCAAUUUCUGUGCACCAAUUGCUACCUCAAGAUCUGUUCAUCAUAUUGGCAUCAGAUGGCCUGUGGGAACACCUCACCAACCAAGAAGCAGUUGAUCUAGUCCAAAAUCAUCCAUGCAGUGUAAGAUAAAAUGCUUCAAAUAUUAUAGCUUUCUAAUUUGAAGAGUAGCAUGUGACAUAGUUAAAGUUUUCUGUUAAAAUUAGUCAAUAGCACUGAUAUUUAAAUAUUCACCAUUAUUUUGUUGUCGAAAAUUUAUCCUACUAUUCAUAACAAGUCCUCUUACUGAUGCAAAAUCUAUCAAUAGGGAUUGUGAUGAUGUAUUCAUGUAAAUUAGUUAUAGGUGAUGCAUAAUACCCACCAUCAAAUUAAGUUAGUUUAAGUUCAGCUCUCAUCUUUAGAGUACGAGAAGUUAUUUCAAUUUUAGUUCAACUCCGUUGUGCAGGGGAGUGCUAGGAGAUUAGUGAAAGCAGCAUUGCAAGAAGCCGCGAAGAAGAGGGAAAUGAGGUACUCCGACUUGAAGAAAAUCGAGCGAGGAAUACGUCGGCAUUUCCACGAUGACAUCACAGUUAUUGUUGUGUUUCUCAACUCAAAUCUUGUAAGCAGGGCUAGUUCAACCAAGAGUCCUAAUAUAUCCGUGAAAGGGGGUGGCGACAUCAAUCUGCCUUCAAAAAUGCUUGGUCCUUCAGCUGUAGCUACUUGAUGACGCUCUUUCUAAUUUGUACUGUACUGUUCAAUGUGGAUACAGAUUAGCUACUUAAAAGUUAAGAGAUGCCCUUGAAUUUCUGAUGUGCCCUCUGUGGCGUUUAACCAAAGAAGGCAUAAUAAUCGGCAAUAGUUUCAAUACCCGAGGAGGCUGGAAAAUGAGAACUCCAAGAUGAUAAUAAUUGUAAUUAUGUUCUCUGGGUAAAUCUUUCAUUAUCUGUUGUUCUCUCCCUUGUGUCAUUUACUCCCUUACAGCUAAAAUGACUUUAUUGAUAUUUUGUUUGAAAACUGAUUAUCACAGUUGUUAUAAAUACUAGUGUCUUCACACUAGGCAGUGGCAUGCUUCUGUAAAGGGGAUUAACAGCAUGCUUGGGGUGGCUUAUAAGCUUAUUUAUUUUACUUAGCCCAAGUUUGGCUGAUGUUCAUAAACAGUUUAUAGUAGACUAAAUCACUUUUAAUCACACAGACUAUUCAUUUAUCCAUCAUUCAUUAUAAAAAAACUCCUAAACUUGCUAUAACAACUCGUGGACCUGUUCUCUCCUUACAAGUCAGUUUUUGCCCAUAAAGAGUGAUCUUAUGGUUAGUGAAGAACUGUGCAUUUUACUAGAAGUCUAUUCCUCAUUGAGGUGCAUCCCAGCUUUUAACUACCUGUGGAAGUUGCGGGGAAUUGAAACUUGCUAGAGAGAAUUUUUUUACUACAGUAUCUUGGUGUUAUUUGCGUCAAUUUUCCUUUCCAUUAAACCAUGGUAACUAACCUAGGUAUCUGUUUGUCAAGUUGGAUCAAUUUUUUGGACAUGCCUGAGUCCAAUCCGUUGUGCUGAGAGAGAGAGAGAGAGAGAGAGAGAGAGAGGGCUUUAAUCAGUGUGUCAGGCAUAUUCCCGCCACCCCGUAAAAACCAUUUACUACACAGUCAAUCUGGCUCAAUAAUCAAUGAUGAGAAUGGGGUUUUCUAGUUUAACCAAUGUUAGAUACUAAACAACGUUAGUGCUUUCUCAGCUUUUAACUACCUGUGGAAGUUGCGGGGAAUUGAAACUUGCUAGAGAGAAUUUUUUUACUACAGUAUCUUGGUGUUAUUUGCGUCAAUUUUCCUUUCCAUUAAACCAUGGUAACUAACCUAGGUAUCUGUUUGUCAAGUUGGAUCAAUUUUUUGGACAUGCCUGAGUCCAAUCCGUUGUGCUGAGAGAGAGAGAGAGAGAGAGAGAGAGAGAGGGCUUUAAUCAGUGUGUCAGGCAUAUUUCCGCCACCCCGUAAAAACCAUUUACUACACGGUCAAUCUGGCUCAAUAAUCAAUGAUGAGAAUGGGGUUUUCUAGUUUAACCAAUGUUAGAUACUAAACAACGUUAGUGCUUUCUCGUGCAGAAUUGGUCAACCAAAUUUCUUAUCUAACAAUUGCACGAUUAUCUAUCACAUCAAUCUAUCAUAUUUAAUUUUCUAUUUUUUGUGUGGAUAUGUAAUAACUAUAUUUUUCAUCCUCAUUCUUACAAAAAUGGGGUAAAAUGGUUCAACGUCGCAAAAACUGUCUUUAUAAGAUUAAUGUUCCCUUUUUAUCCUAUUUUUUGUUAAACUUAUUUUUAAAUAUUUUUUUCAAUAAAAUAAUUUUGUUUAGAGCCAUAAUUUUUUCCUCUUAUAUAUAUAAUUUAGGAAAAUAUUCUAAUUUUUUUUUUUUACCAAUUACAGUCUUCGCCCUUUUUUCCUAUUUUUUAAACAUAUUUUCUGAAGAAAAAUCACUAUUAUAAUUUUAUUUUAUUUUAUUUUAUUUUUUGAAAAAUUGGCUCUCUGUGUAUUGGAGAGUCUAUAGAGAGUCCUUCUUUCCAUUAUUUCUUGGUUUGAGCACAGCUGUCAGUAAAUUCAGCAGUGAAGGUAAAUUUAUGAAGAGUCACAUUUAUUGGGGAAAUUUAACUUUAAUGCAGUAAAUACGAAGUAGAUUGUGUAAAAUUUAAAGCAUCACGACCAACUCUAAUCUUACAUAUACAAGGUUGUCCUUGUCUCAAAGGAAUCUGGGGAUGGAUGCUAAUUUCCGCCUCCCAUCUAGGGGUGGCGCGCGGGUCAAUUCGGUUCGGUUUAAAAGAGAAUCGAAUCGAAUCGAAAUUUUCGGAUAUCUAGUAAAUGGAUUUAGAAAACGUUAAUUUAUUAAUUUGUUUAGAAAAAAUUGAAAUUAAAAUAAUUUGAUUUACUCAAUAUAAAAAAAUAAUUUAGAAAGAUUCAGUUCUUAUUCGAUUUUUCGGGGCUUGGUCUAGAAUCGAGGACCGAACCGUACCCGUCGAUUCUCAAUUCAGAUACCCGUUCGAGUAUUUAAUUUGACAAGAACCGUCGGGUUCGGUUCGGGAGAUUUGCCCAACCCUACUCCCAUCCACCCCCACUCUUUUAGAAGUUUUUUCAGAGGUUAAAAUCCAACAGCAGAAAUGGAAUUCACAUCCCAGAUCAAUUUUUCUUUCUACUUUCAAGUUAUUGUAACGAACUCUAAAUAUCUAAUAUGACUACCUAAGGCCAGUGUUCUAAAAAAAGUAGAACGUGGCUAGGCGACAAGUAACAUAUUUUUAUUGAAUUCCUCUCAACAUUGUGAGUAGAGUAAUGCUAUUUAUAGUGAAGAUUACCGGUAGUCGUCCUAUGUGGCAUAUAUAUGACAAUUUUUUAUUUGAUGCAUUAAUAUGAUAGUUUUUUAUUACUUUAUGCAUCAUAUAUCAAACUGUCAUAUGUAUGCCAAGUAAAGCGAUUAUCGAUAUUCUUCACCAUGAAUAACAUUAUUCUUGUGAGUAUUCCAUUAUAUAGAAAAUCUAGGAGUGAUACAUACAUAUACACGUACGUACGCGCGCGCACACACACACACUUAACACUAAGCAACUCAUGCCAAAAAAGGUCUUGAUCAAGGCACCGGCCUUCUAGUGCCGCCGCUUUACUCCGAACGGCAUGUUCUUCCACUAUUCACGCUAUUUAUAGUUCGAGCAAGAGCGGUUUUUAGAUAAAAUAAAGAAACAAGAUAAUAGAUUUGUCGUUAAGUCCGACUUGCAGAACUGUCUUUCGACUAGGCUUUAUGUUGAGGAUGCAGUUGGGUGGCCCCUCCAUAGGGGUACCUACUUAGGCUGAUUGCUCAUUGGCUGUUGACAAAUCGCUCCGGAAGUGUGGAAGGAAUUCCACAUUUCCCUUUUUUUUUUUUAUUAUUUAUCUUCGAAUAACCCAUGAGACUUAAUCCAACAAAGACCCGAUCCCACUCCGCCCUGGAUGUGUGUAAUCAUCCUGUGCCAUAUGUACUGGGCUUUUCCUGGGAGACGUGGUAAAGAAGAUAGAUGUCGCAUAUGCGCUUUGUCUUAUAUUAGUAUUAGUCUUAGAUGAGUUGUUAGGAGGGGAAGGUGGAAACAGCUCCUAUUUCUAUUGUUAAAAGGGAGAACCUAUCUAUUCCUAUUACAAUAGCAGCAUUACAUGGUAUGGGAGAACUCCCAGAAAGUCCAAUGAGGGCUUAAAGCAAAGCUAAAGUGCUUAAGAAGGAAUUAGAUUAGUAUUGGCAGGGCAGGGCGAAUGAAGGAGACUCCAACUUCCCAUCAAACUCAAACCCCCAGGUCAGGAAAAGCAACUGAAACUGAAUCAAUAGCUGGGGUUGAAAAGGAAGCUACAGCAACGGAGGCUCGCAUAGCAUGACAAAGUACAACCUCCGAGAAAGCAGAAAGAAUCUAAGACUGAAUAAAGUGGAAGGAAAACCCUAGAAAAGCUCAACCCUAGACCUUGACCUCUCAUCCUAGAAGAAGAUUGGGUUCCUAUUGCUACAAACAAGGGGUAUCCAACAACAACUACUGAUACUACUAUUCCAACAAUUGUAACUAUCAGGAUUGAAGUACAAAGGUUUUGACUCUUGAACAUAUUCGCCUAGGAUAAACCUUUCAAUGACUUAAUCAGAGCAAAGUCAACCGCUGUAAUUGGAUGGGCUAGAAAAUGGCUAUACUAGAAGUGUAAGGGCUUACAACUCAAACUUGAUCUCCCAUUGCAGAACUUCCUCGCCUAAGAGACUGAAGGGCUUGAUCUACUUUUCCCUAUCCAUACUCCUUAUCCAAUAGAUGGAAAGGCUUAGAAAAAAGGGCUUCUCUUUGUCCUGGUACUGGCUCUGCAAGGAAAAUAGAAAGAUACCGUAUUCGAUCAUAUAGAACAGGCCCUCCCUCGUAUGCAACUUAUUCUCGACUAAAGUAUAGGAUAUAUUAAGAAGAAAUUACGCACUUCACAUAGGGAGAAGGCUCACACCUACCUAAAAUACAUCCCUAAGCCGCUGUUCCCAAUAGAGAGGGUAAAAGAGCCUAUCUAAGGAAGUCUAGUAGCGUGGCCUUCUUCCACUUCCAAUAGAGUAUCUAAGAUGAAGAGACAUGGGUGGAAGAUCCUUUUCAGAAGGUUAGAACUCCUCAUAAGGUCUGUUCCUCAUCACUUAUCUUCCCAUCUGGUCUAUAAGGUAAGAGUUUCUUUAGCGGCUUAAUGUCUUCUAACAGCCGGGAAUAGGUCCUCUUGCCCUUCCUGCUCAUCUAGAAGGUAAAAGCUUCUUUAACGGCUUAAUGUCUUCUGCCAGCCGGGAAUAGGUCCUCUUUCCCUUCCUGCUCAUCUAGAAACUUUUACAAAGUCUCAUCCCUUCUUAUCAUAACAAGCGUAAGAUCUGAGGGAAGCUUGUCUUCCAGAUCGAAACCCUGCUUCUACCUAUUCGCAUCUGAAAAGCAGUAGGGUGCGACCCUCACCUUGCUUAGCAUCAAAGCGAACUGAUCCCAGCACAGUAAUAAAGCUCAAAGAUAGCCUUCCUCAUUAUUACGCCAUCCCCCACACUGCCCUAGGGCAAAGCUAAUAAAGGAAAACUAAUCUCUAUCAAUAUGUACUAUCGAUGUAAUAAAGGAAAACUAAUCUCUAUGGAUUCUGCGACCUGCCAAUUAUUUUCAAUCUGUCAAUUAAAAUCUGUCAAUUAUUGAUUUUGUAAAUCCCAUUGCUCGCAAGGUCAAGCUUCCAGCUUUUAUGAGCCUAAGUGGGGCCUAGGCAAAACCUAGGUGUAGAAAAGAGAAACUUGGCUAGGCGGCAGGCCAAGCUUUGUGCCUAGUCAAAGCUUAGGUGGUGUCUAAGUGCGCUUUUUAGAACACUGCCUAAUGCAUAGAAGUUUAAAAUUUCAAAAGAUGCGGUUUUGUUAAUAUAGAUAUUUAACCAAAAUUUACUCGUUCUCGGUGAAGCAAGCAUGAUGGCUGUGGGGUUCUAUGACUUUGGUUGAUUAAUUGUUAAAUUAUUUAUCUGAGUUCUCACAUUUCACCAAAUAUUUUAGUCUUUGGAGCAUUCAUCUUUUCCUGAAGUUAAUUGCUCAAGGGAUAUUUACUGAAUUCUCUAGCAAUUUGACAAUGAUGGUUGUGCAACUCUUUUAGAUGUCUUGGGAUGAAAUGCAGGUGUCCGGAACUCUUGGUUGCCUUUAUCUAUGGAUAUAUGGGACCAUAGACGUCAAAUGCUAUACUAAGAUACAUGUUUUCAAUAUCUCUUUCCUCCCUCUUUUGAGAUUCCUUUGGUAUUCAUAUUAUUAAUUUUGCAAUUGCACAAAGAAGUCAAAGAAAUCUCUCCCUACCAUCCCUACUAAAUAAAAGAAAAAUCACUUUUGAAAAGGUAACAUCUAUCAGCUAUGUAAUUUAGCCAUGUGAUAAUGUUCUGUAUGAUUUUACUUCGUGAAUUGUGAUACAUCUUGGUUUGAUGUUGUCGUACAGAUCUCUAGAUCAAUUGGUGAUGUGUAUUUAAAAAAGGCUGAAUUCAACAGGGAGCCAUUAUAUGCUAAGUUUCGAGUGUGUGAACCCUUCAAAAGACCAAUUUUGAGUUCAGAACCAUCAAUUUCUGUGCACCAAUUGCUACCUCAAGAUCUGUUCAUUAUAUUGGCAUCAGAUGGCCUGUGGGAACACCUCACCAACCAAGAAGCAGUUGAUCUAGUCCAAAAUCAUCCAUGCAGUGUAAGAUAAAAUGCUUCAAAUAUUAUAGCUUUCUAAUUUGAAGAGUAGCAUGUGACAUAGUUAAAGUUUUCUGUUAAAAUUAGUCAAUAGCACUGAUAUUUAAAUAUUCACCAUUAUUUUGUUGUCGAAAAUUUAUCCUACUAUUCAUAACAAGUCCUCUUACUGAUGCAAAAUCUAUCAAUAGGGAUUGUGAUGAUGUAUUCAUGUAAAUUAGUUAUAGGUGAUGCAUAAUACCCACCAUCAAAUUAAGUUAGUUUAAGUUCAGCUCUCAUCUUUAGAGUACGAGAAGUUAUUUCAAUUUUAGUUCAACUCCGUUGUGCAGG